CGUAGGGUGCAAGCGUUGUCCGGAAUUAUUGGGCGUAAAGAGCUCGUAGGCGGUUCGUCGCGUCGGCUGUGAAAACCCGGAGCUCAACUCCGGGCCUGCAGUCGAUACGGGCGGACUUGAGUGUUGCAGGGGAGACUGGAAUUCCUGGUGUAGCGGUGAAAUGCGCAGAUAUCAGGAGGAACACCGGUGGCGAAGGCGGGUCUCUGGGCAACUACUGACGCUGAGGAGCGAAAGCGUGGGGAGCGAACAGGAUUAGAUACCCUGGUAGUCCACGCCGUAAACGUUGGGCGCUAGGUGUGGGGGCCAUUCCACGGUCUCCGUGCCGCAGCUAACGCAUUAAGCGCCCCGCCUGGGGAGUACGGCCGCAAGGCUA
rnacentral:rRNA from 1 species